rnacentral:tRNA from 1 species
GGGAGGUUACCGAAGCGGUCAAACGGGUCAGACUGUAAAUCUGAUGGCUUAUGCCUUCGUAGGUUCGAAUCCUACACCUCCCA